UUGGACAAUGGGCGCAAGCCUGAUCCAGCCAUGCCGCGUGUCUGAAGAAGGCCUUCGGGUUGUAAAGGACUUUUGUCAGGGAAGAAAAGGCUGUUGCUAAUAUCAGCGGCUGAUGACGGUACCUGAAGAAUAAGCACCGGCUAACUACGUGCCAGCAGCCGCGGUAAUACGUAGGGUGCGAGCGUUAAUCGGAAUUACUGGGCGUAAAGCGGGCGCAGACGGUUACUUAAGCAGGAUGUGAAAUCCCCGGGCUCAACCCGGGAACUGCGUUCUGAACUGGGUGACUCGAGUGUGUCAGAGGGAGGUAGAAUUCCACGUGUAGCAGUGAAAUGCGUAGAGAUGUGGAGGAAUACCGAUGGCGAAGGCAGCCUCCUGGGAUAACACUGACGUUCAUGCCCGAAAGCGUGGGUAGCAAACAGGAUUAGAUACCCUGGUAGUCCACGCCCUAAACGAUGUCAAUUAGCUGUUGGGCAACUUGAUUGCUUAGUAGCGUAGCUAACGCGUGAAAUUGACCGCCUGGGGAGUACGGUCGCAAGAUUAAAACUCAAAGGAAUUGACGG
rnacentral:rRNA from 1 species